GUCGACUAAAGAAAAAGAGGGAGACAGAGAGAGAGAGAGAGAGAAGGCAAGGGAGACGGAGAGAGAUAGAAGGAGUCGAGCGAGAAGAAAGGCGAAAGAGAUGGAUGCAAGUAAGAUGGAGAGGAAUUUGAAGAUUCUAUGGAGAAGACCAUGAUGUUCAUUGUCUGUAGCACGCUGGUGCUUCUAUGUUCUACAUCAGCAUAUGCACAAAAGGGUGAAUCUCCUCCAUCUUACUCCUUGCAUAAGUAUGCCAUAAAGGAGAGCUAGGAAAAUGAGCUGGUGGUGGUCUAGUGUCGCUGUUGCUGCAAGGGUUUGUGAUUUUGGGAUGUCAUGGUUUGUAGGUAUCUUACUGGUGUCAUACUUAUUUCCUUCUAUUACUGCAGUUCAUGUAUUGUUGAUGGAAGCUCUAGGUUUUCUGAUAUGGAGGAAGGAUAUCAAUGGACUUGAAGAUCUCUAAUUAAAGCUUAUGAUAUGGAGGAUAAACUUAACAAAAACUGGAGACAAUCCUCGGACAUUUGGCUGAGAAGAAUUAUGUGCCGGUGGUCAGAAUUAACAUGAGCCGAAUGCCAAUAGCAAUGCAGCUUCAUAUUCAUGAUUAGUUGUACUGUGUUCUAGAUUUGACCCAUUUUGAUGUCAAAAUUUGAUGUACUUCAUCUAUUUUGGCCUAUUUCCAUUUCUAAACUCGAAAUUGUUUUUUUAUUUAGUAACUAUGGUACUCAUCUUGGUUGUGGUUGUCUAGGAAUGAUCAUAGUUGUGGUUGGUAAUAGCGUUAGUACUGUUUUUGGGAUUUGUUGGUGUUGAACUUUUAAUGGUGGAUUAAUAUAU